CCAUCUUCAUCUGCACACUGGCCCUCUGGACUCAAGAAUCCAGAAGUUUCUUCUGCUCUGCAACUCCAGUGACUGUGACUCAGACUCCUGGAAUGAAAGCAGCUCUUCCAGGAGACACAGUCAGCAUCAGAUGCAGUAUUGACCCAGGGAAUUUUCAUCUUCACUGGUAUCAUCAGAGACCUGGAGAAACUCCUAAACUCCUGAUCUACUACACAAGCAACAGAGCAUCAGGUAUUCCAGAUCGUUUCAGUGGUAGCGGAUCAGGUAAUGACUGCACUCUGACCAUCAAUGGAGUCCAGACUGAAGAUGCAGGAGAUUACUACUGUCAGAGUGCCCAUAAUUUCGGGGGUAGCUGGGUGUUCACUUUUGGUGGAGGGACGAAACUGUCAGUUGGACGUGACGCCCCGCCCACCCUCACGGUCCUGCCCCCCUCCAGUGUAGAGCUGCAGCAGGAGAAGGUCACACUCGUGUGUCUGGCCAACAAGGGCUUCCCCUCAGACUGGAAGCUGAGCUGGAGGGUGGCUGAUAGCAGCUGGAGCUCGGGGGUGAGCCAGAGCUCCGGGCUUCUGCAGAAGGACGGUCUCUACAGCUGGAGCAGCACCCUGACCCUCCAGAAGGAGGAGUGGCUGAAGAAGACAGUGACCUGUGAGGCCACCAAGGACUCCCAGUCUCCUGUCACACAGACACUGAGUAGAGAGCAGUGUGCUGAGGAGUGAACUCCCACAAUCCUCUGCUUUACUCUGCACACUCUCUUCUGCUUCACUGGGACUUUACAACUUCACUCAUAAAAUGUUCUUCUGCUUUGUCUUUUCAAUAAAAUCCUUAAAAUCUAA